rnacentral:rRNA from 1 species
AACGAACGCUGGCGGCAUGCCUAACACAUGCAAGUCGAACGAGACCUUCGGGUCUAGUGGCGCACGGGUGCGUAACGCGUGGGAACCUGCCCUUAGGUUCGGAAUAACUCCCCGAAAGGGGUGCUAAUACCGGAUAAUGUCUUCGGACCAAAGAUUUAUCGCCUUUGGAUGGGCCCGCGUUGGAUUAGCUAGUUGGUAGGGUAAAAGCCUACCAAGGCGACGAUCCAUAGCUGGUCUGAGAGGAUGAUCAGCCACACUGGGACUGAGACACGGCCCAGACUCCUACGGGAGGCAGCAGUGGGGAAUAUUGGACAAUGGGCGAAAGCCUGAUCCAGCAAUGCCGCGUGAGUGAUGAAGGCCUUAGGGUUGUAAAGCUCUUUUACCCGGGGUGAUAAUGACAGUACCGGGAGAAUAAGCUCCGGCUAACUCCGU